CUUACCAAUUGAGACUUUGCUUACUGCUAGGAGCAAGGCUGCUUGUGGUCUGACUAACAACCCAAAGGAACAAGUAGCUGACAUUGAUGCAUCUGAUGUUGAUAAUGGAAUGAGAGUCGGCCUUGUGACUACAUGAAUUCGCAACCCGAAAUCAACGACAAAAUGAGGGCUAUCUUAGUUGAUUGGUUGAUUGAAGUGCACAACAGAUUUGAGCUUAUGCCUGAGACCCUUUAUCUGACCAUUAACUUGGUUGAUCGGUUUCUUUCGUCGAAAUCUGUCCCAAGGAAAGAAUUGCAGCUUCUGGGUAUUGGUGCUAUGUUGAUUGCCUGCUAGUAUGAGGAAAUCUGGGCUCCUGAGGUUAAUGACUUUGUGAGCAUAUCACAAAGGGCAUACAGCAAUGAACAAAUUCUGAAAAUGGAGAAGGCCAUACUAGGCCAGU